GGUGAAUGCUAGCGGUGCGCCUAACACAUGCAAGUCGAGCGGUAGUAAUUUUUAGCUUGCUAAAAAUUAUGAGAGCGGCGAACGGGUGAGUAACACGUUGAUAUCUGCCCCCCAGUCAGGGAUAACCCAGGGAAACCUGGACUAAUACCGGAUAGUCUCUUCGGAGUAAAAAUUUAUUGCUGGGGGAGGAGUCUGCGGUCUAUCAGCUAGUUGGUGAGGUAAUAGCUCACCAAGGCUAUGACGGAUAGCUGGUCUGAGAGGAUGAUCAGCCACAAUGGAACUGAGACACGGUCCAUACUCCUACGGGAGGCAGCAGUGAGGAAUCUUCCACAAUGGACGAAAGUCUGAUGGAGCGACACCGCGUGAAGGAUGAAGGUCUAACGAUUGUAAACUUCUUUUCUGAGGGAGCAUAAUGAGAGUACCUCAGGAAUAAGGGGCGGCUAAUUACG
rnacentral:rRNA from 1 species